UCAUAGGACCACAUCGAAAAAUCUAGUUUCUGAGAAAAAGAGGAGAAAAUGAAUAGCACCACUAGAACAACAAUUGAGGAUGGAAUAUCACUAGUAUUUGGGGUAAUUCUGAGGAAGAGUUUUUGUAGAUUGAGAGAAAUGAACGACUUGUUUUCUGAGUUUAUGUCUAUUCUUGUCACAACUAUUCAGUACUCUGAUCAUGUCAUAGCUCAGCGGGGUCGCGGUGGUCAACGACAAUCUAAUGACUUUCCAGGCAGAUAUUCGCUGAUUUCGUCCAUGGAUGCUCGCCCUGAUAGGGACAUCGGCUUGGUAUGUCUUGACCGGCAGUACUAGUUUUUAUCUUUGUAAUCUACUGUUGAAACAUGUAGUAAGUUUGCACUUUUUAAAUAACUAGAUACUUUUUUCAUAAAUGUUAAGCAACUUGUUGUCUUAUGGUCUUGUGGCACAGCUUCUUUUAAAUUUGUUCCUCCUAGCCUCAUUUGAAGCAAUUGGUGAACUCUCAUGAGAGACUGAUUAGCUUUGUAAUCUGGAGGAAUUAUAACUAUUAAUUAGCAGAUUGGUUUCAAA